AUUGACCGCUGGCGGCAGGCCUAACACAUGCAAGUCGAGCGGAGCGGCGGACGGGAGAGUAAUGCCUAGGAAUCUGCCUGGUCGUGGGGGAUAACGUCCGGAAACGGGCGCUAAUACCGCAUACUAUCCAAUAAGCAUAGGUCGGAUUAGAUAGUUGGUUGGGUAAAGGCCUACGAAGGCGACGAUACUUAACUGGUCUGAGAGGAUGAUCAGUCACACUGGAACUGAGACACGGUCCAGACUCCUACGGGAGGCAGCAGUGGGGAAUAGUGGACAAUGGGCGAAAGCAUGAUCCAGCCAUGCCGCGUGUGUGAAGAAGGUCUUCGGAUUGUAAAGCACUUUAAGUUGGGAGGCGUUACCAACAGAAGAAGCACCGGCUAACUUCGUGCCAGCAGCCGCGGUAAUAC
rnacentral:rRNA from 1 species